rnacentral:rRNA from 1 species
CGCGCUAUAGGGUUGGCCGAUGGCUGAUUAGCUAGUUGGUGGGGUAAAGGCCUACCAAGGCGACGAUCAGUAGCUGGUCUGAGAGGACGACCAGCCACACUGGGACUGAGACACGGCCCAGACUCCUACGGGAGGCAGCAGUGGGGAAUUUUGGACAAUGGGCGAAAGCCUGAUCCAGCAAUUGCCGCGUGUGUGAAGAAGGCCUUCGGGUUGUAAAGCACUUUUGUCCGGAAAGAAAUCCUUGGCUCUAAUACAGUCGGGGGAUGACGGUACCGGAAGAAUAAGCACCGGCUAACUACGUGCCAGCAGCCGCGGUAAUACGUAGGGUGCGAGCGUUAAUCGGAAUUACUGGGCGUAAAGCGUGCGCAGGCGGUCUGUUAAGACAGAUGUGAAAUCCCCGGGCUCAACCUGGGAACUGCAUUUGUGACUGGCAGGCUAGAGUAUGG